AUUGAACGCUGGCGGAAUGCUUUACACAUGCAAGUCGAACGGCAGCACGGACUUCGGUCUGGUGGCGAGUGGCGAACGGGUGAGUAAUGUAUCGGAACGUGCCCAGUCGUGGGGGAUAACGUAGUGAAAAUUACGCUAAUACCGCAUACGAUCUAUGGAUGAAAGCGGGGGAUCGCAAGACCUCGCGCGAUUGGAGCGGCCGAUAUCAGAUUAGGUAGUUGGUGGGGUAAAGGCCCACCAAGCCAAAGAUCUGUAACUGGUCUGAGAGGACGACCAGCCACCAUGGAACUGAGACACGGUCCAGACUACUACGGGAGGCAGCAGUGGGGAAUUUUGGACAAUGGGCGAAAGCCUGAUCCAGCCAUUCCGCGUGCAGGAUGAAGGCCCUCGGGUUGUAAACUGCUUUUGUACAGAACGAAAAGGUUUCUACUAAUACUAGGAGCUCAUGACGGUACUGUAAGAAUAAGCACCGGCUAACUACGUGCCAGCCGCCGCAGUAA
rnacentral:rRNA from 1 species